GAAGUUCUCCCCUGUAUGGCUUCAGAUGAUAUGACGCCUGCUGGGGAACGCCCCUUCCCAGUCUGUGAAUCUGACUUAGACUGAGCAGAAAAUACAGAGCAAUAUCAAGAAGGUCAGAAAUGUUAGUUACAAGAUGCAGAAGAAUACGUUGGAGCCGAAAUUCUGAACGAUAGAAGGAGGUUAGUGAUCAGAAAGGGUUGUAGUAAUAUUGAGCACUUGAUGCCAGAUUACAUCUGAUCUCCAGGGAUCCCAGCAGCAGAACACCCUUUGAUCAACCUAUUUUUAGGAGACAUGUCAUGCCAAAGGAACAGCUAGCAACUUGGAUGCAACCAGUUACUUUGCACUUUACUACGAUAAUAACGAUAUACAUAGGACAAUCUAUGAGAAGUGUUAAAUUCCGGAUCAGCGAACAUCGGGGCGCAAUCCGGAGUUUAUUGACAAAAUCUGCGAGCAACAUCGAUAAAAUGGAAGUAGUGAGCAGAUAUGGAGAAAGUGGGGUAGCGAGACAUUUUGCAGAAUACGGUCAUCAAGUCAGCCAAUUGCGCUGGAUGGUCACAGAAGAGGUGUGUGGUACAAGUGAGGAAGAAGAUAAGAAGAGGCUCCUACCGCGAGAAGUAUACUGGAUUGAAACCUUGAAUUCAUUAAGACUGGAUGGAGUAAAUGAAAUGUGUAAUUUUAGUUUAUUUCUAUGAGUGAAUGACUGUAUAUUCUUCCUAGGAUUGAUGGAGAACAGAAAGGUUAUAUUUUAAUGUUAGAUUGUUAUCUACAGUUUGUAAUGCAAAAUCU